rnacentral:lncRNA from 1 species
CUCGAGAAUCAUAGUAUCCGCAAAGCAACCGAAACUUAGAAAAACACACAACAAAAACGGAAAACAAAGAACAAAAAAAACAAAAACAAAACCCAAACCACGGUGGGUUGCCUCCCACCAAGCGCUAGUUUUAGAGUCGCCAGCCCGACGUAGAGGAUCCCUUAACCAAAAUCGCUAUGAAACGUCAGCUGAAUUAGUCCUCGUGAAAGCACAUCAUCCUCCAGUUCAGCUGCGGGUCCUCUUAAUGAGC